GACGAACGCUGGCGGCGUGCUUAACACAUGCAAGUCGAACGGAAAGGCCCUUCGUUUGUGGGGUGCUCGAAUGGCGAACGGGAGAGUAACACGUGCGGCACCCGCCCUUGACUUAGGGAUAACUUCUGGGAGCUGGGGCUAAUAGCGGAUAGGAUCUCCCGCUGCAUGGUGGGGGUUGGGUUGUCUCGGCGGUUGGGGAUGGACUCGCGGCUUAUCAGCUUGUUGGUGGGGUAGUGGCUUACCAAGGCUAUGACGGGUAGCCGGCCUGAGAGGGUGACCGGCCACAUUGGGACUGAGAUACGGCCCAGACUCCUACGGGAGGCAGCAGUGGGGAAUAUUGCGCAAUGGGCGGAAGCCUGAUGCAGCGACGCCGCGUGCGGGAUGACGGCCUUCGGGUUGUAAACCGCUUUCGCCUGUGACGAAGCGUGAGUGACGGUAACUGGUAAAGAAGCACCGGCUAACUACGUG
rnacentral:rRNA from 1 species